UUCCCUGAGUGGGCCGUCUGCCCCGGAACCCUUAGCCUCCAGAUUUACUCGGUCGCCUCGGACGCCUCUCCAGGAAAGCAGGACUCCCUGACCGAGCUUGGAUCCACCUGGAGGUGCCUUGGCCUGGGCCUUGACGAAUCUCGUUCUGAUCGCUCUACCUGUCCGGCCUCCCACCAGCCCAGUUCUCCAGUGCUCUGCCAGCCGUCAUACUCACACCCUCCAAAUCUGACGAACCGGUGACCCGUUCCAGAAACCAUCCCUCUUUCCUUUUCCCUCAAACUCAAUAAAUCAUCAUUGUUCAUUAA